ensembl:lncRNA
UAAGGGAAUUUGUAAAAAAGCACAGCAAGAUUAUAAUAAUAGGGGAUUUUAAUACGGUUUUUAACAAAUUGGAUAUGGCUGAAGGGAUGGUUUUUAAAACGGAUACAGGGAGAAAGGAGUUAAAAUUAUUAAUGGAAGACAACAACAUGAUAGACAUUUGGAGAGAGAGAAACGAAAAGAAGAAAGAAUACUCAAGAAGGCAGAUGGUCGGGAAUUUUAUGUGUAGAACCUGAAUCGAUUUUAUCCUAUGCACUAGAAACAUAGAAGGUUUUAUGGAAGGGAUAAGGUACGAGGAAACAAGCUUAAGCGACCAUAAGCCCCUGUUCUUGCGCGUAGACUGGAGCGUAGUUAAAAGAGGACCAGGAGUAUGGGUUUUAAAUACAGGAAUUUUAAAAAAUGAAGACUAUAUUGUAAAAAUAAAAGAGAUAAUUGAAAAAGAAAAAGAAAACGGGAUCUUCACGGAAGACAAAAGAAUAUGGUGGGAAAACGUAAAAUAUGAGGUCAAGAAAUUCACAAUAAAAUAUUGCACGCGAAUACAGAAAAACAAAAAAGAUAAGAAAAGAGAAAUAAGGGAACGGUGGGAAAAAGAACUAAAUAAGAAGGAAAAAAAUAUACAAAAAUUAAAAGCGAUAGAAGAAGAAAUGCGAGAAAUAGAAGAAAAAAGAUAUCAAGGUGCAAGGCUACGAAGCAAGGCAAGGUUUUUGGUAGAGGGCGAAAAAUGCACAAAAUUCUUUUUUGACCUAGAAAAAAGCAAAGGCAAAGCCGAAACAAUAAAAGCGAUUAAAGGGGAGAACGGGGAAAUAGUGGAAAAAACUGAGCAAAUCUUGGAAGAAGUCAAAGCAUUUUAUGAAAAACUCUUUAGCGCAGAGGGGGUAGGUGAAGAAGAGAAGGGGUUUUUACUGAACCAAAUAGAAGCAAGGGUAGGAGAGGAGAGGAAAAAACAAUGUGACCAGGAAAUAAGGGAGGAGGAGAUAGAGAAAGCCAUAGUUCAAUUAAAUAGAAGGAAAAGCCCGGGGAUAGAUGGUCUGGGGGGUGAAUUUUACAUUGUUUUUAAGGAUGUUUUAACCAGCGUCCUGAAAAAAGUGUACGAUGAGAUUUUUAAGAAUAGAGAGAUGAACCAGAGAAUGGGAAUGGGGCUGAUUAAACUGAUAUACAAAAGAAAAGGGGAGAGAGUAGACCUAAGA